CGGACGGGUGAGUAAUGUCUGGGAAACUGCCUGAUGGAGGGGGAUAACUGCUGGAAACGGUAGCUAAUACCGCAUAACGUCGCAAGACCAAAGAGGGGGACCUUCGGGCCUCUUGCCAUCGGAUGUGCCCAGAUGGGAUUAGCUAGUAGGUGGGGUAACGGCUUACCUAGGCGACGAUCCCUAGCUGGUCUGAGAGGAUGACCAGCCACACUGGAACUGAGACACGGUCCAG
rnacentral:rRNA from 1 species